UACGAAGGGGGGCUAGCGUUGCUCGGAAUCACUGGGCGUAAAGCGCACGUAGGCGGCUUUCUAAGUCAGGGGUGAAAUCCUGGAGCUCAACUCCAGAACUGCCUUUGAUACUGGAGAGCUUGAGUCCGGAAGAGGUGAGUGGAACUGCGAGUGUAGAGGUGAAAUUCGUAGAUAUUCGCAAGAACACCAGUGGCGAAGGCGGCUCACUGGCUCGGUACUGACGCUGAGGUGCGAAAGCGUGGGGAGCAAACAGG
rnacentral:rRNA from 1 species